rnacentral:rRNA from 1 species
AGAGUUUGAUCCUGGCUCAGGACGAACGCUGGCGGCGUGCCUAACACAUGCAAGUCGAACGGGGUGAGGCCCUUCGGGACCUUUACCUAGUGGCGAACGGGUGAGUAACGCGUGAGGAACCUGCCUUUCAGUGGGGGACAACAGUUGGAGACGACUGCUAAUACCGCAUGAAGCUUUUGGGAGACAUCUCCUGGAAGCCAAAGCUUAAUGUGCUGAAAGAUGGCCUCGCGUCUGAUUAGCUAGUUGGUGGGGUAACGGCCCACCAAGGCGACGAUCAGUAGCCGGUCUGAGAGGAUGAACGGCCACAUUGGGACUGAGAUACGGCCCAGACUCCUACGGGAGGCAGCAGUGGGGAAUAUUGGGCAAUGGGCGAAAGCCUGACCCAGCAACGCCGCGUGAAGGAAGAAGGCCUUCGGGUUGUAAACUUCUUUUACCAGGGACGAAGGACGUGACGGUACCUGGAGAAAAAGCAAUGGCUAACUACGUGCCAGCAGCCGCGGUAAUACGUAGGUUGCAAGCGUUGUCCGGAUUUACUGGGUGUAAAGGGCGUGUAGGCGGAGAUGCAAGUUAGGAGUGAAAUCUAUGGGCUCAACCCAUAAACUGCUUCUAAAACUGUAUCCCUUGAGUAUCGGAGAGGCAAGCGGAAUUCCUAGUGUAGCGGUGAAAUGCGUAGAUAUUAGGAGGAACACCAGUGGCGAAGGCGGCUUGCUGGACGACAACUGACGCUGAGGCGCGAAAGCGUGGGGAGCAAACAGGAUUAGAUACCCUGGUAGUCCACGCUGUAAACGAUGAAUACUAGGUGUGGGGGGACUGACCCCCUCCGUGCCGCAGUUAACACAAUAAGUAUUCCACCUGGGGAGUACGACCGCAAGGUUGAAACUCAAAGGAAUUGACGGGGGCCCGCACAAGCAGUGGAUUAUGUGGUUUAAUUCGACGCAACGCGAAGAACCUUACCAGGACUUGACAUCCAACUAACGAAGUAGAGAUACAUCAGGUGCCCUUCGGGGAAAGUUGAGACAGGUGGUGCAUGGUUGUCGUCAGCUCGUGUCGUGAGAUGUUGGGUUAAGUCCCGCAACGAGCGCAACCCCUAUUGUUAGUUGCUACGAAAGAGCACUCUAGCGAGACUGCCGUUGACAAAACGGAGGAAGGCGGGGACGACGUCAAAUCAUCAUGCCCCUUAUGUCCUGGGCUACACACGUAAUACAAUGGUGGCCAACAGAGGGAAGCGAAGCCGUGAGGCAGAGCAAAUCCCUAAAAGCCAUCUCAGUUCGGAUUGCAGGCUGCAACUCGCCUGCAUGAAGCUGGAAUUGCUAGUAAUCGCGGAUCAGCAUGCCGCGGUGAAUACGUUCCCGGGCCUUGUACACACCGCCCGUCACACCAUGAGAGUCGGGAACACCCGAAGUCCGUAGUCUAACCGCAAGGGGGGCGCGGCCGAAGGUGGGUCCGGUAAUUGGGGUGAAGUCGUAACAAGGUA